rnacentral:lncRNA from 1 species
CCUGUAUGGCUCAUGUUCACAUGUCCUGAGGUCUCAGUCUCAUUGUCCCAAUCCAGCUUUCCAGAGAGGGCUGCGAGAAGCUAGGCUAUGGUGCCAAUCACAGGUCUUUGUGUGAAGAAUUGUGCAGGGAGGGCAAAGGUACCACUUUGCCUUAGAAUUUCCUAGUUUUUAUUCCUGAAAAUUCCUUGUCCUGAAUAUCCCCAUAGCCCUAUCUAAGGGUUGCUGUUAUUAGCUGAAUUGUGACCUUCUAAAUUCAUAUGUUAAGGUCCUAACCCCUAAUACUUCAGAAUGUGACUGUGUCUGCAGACAGAAUCUUUGAAGAGGUAAUUAUGUUAAAAUGGGUCUUUAGGUUGGGCCCUAAUCCAAUAGGAUUGGUGUCCUCAUGAGAUGAGGAGAUUAGGAUUAGUUAAGCACACAGGGACAACCAUGUAAGCAUGCAGGGAAAAGACAGCCAUCUACAAACCAAGGAGAGAGGUCUCAGAAAGAACCGACAGUGCCGACCCCUCAAUCUCAGAAUUCCAACCCCCAGGACUGUGACAGAAUAGACUUUUAUCAUUUAAGUCACUCAGUCUGUGGUCUCGGUCAUGGGAGUCCAAGCUGAUGAUCACAGUAGUGAAGAGAACUUUAUACAUGGAAUCAUGGGAAGUCUCAGAAUGGUGAGACGAACCUGGUCCUAUAACCCUGAGCUACUGAAGCUUUGUUUAUGGAUCACAGAGGCUUCUAAAACAAAGAUUGUUCCACAAAUUGAUGAAAGCCUAAGAUAUGCCAGGAAAUAUCUCACACGUGACCCUGUGAUCUGCAGUCACAUAUUGGUGCAUNNNNNNNNNNNNNNNNNNNNNNNNNNNNNNNNNNNNNNNNNNNNNCCAGUGUUUGAAUCUUCCCUCCUUGCCGGGAUGAUGGAGUUCCCCUUCAGUCAGCAGCUCUGUUGAAAUGGAAGGGUCUGGCCCCAGUCUCGCCCCUCCCUGUGCCUGUUGCCUAGACUUUCUUAUCUGAGGCCAGGAGAGGAAAGCAGAUCCAGCUUAUAUCUAAUCUGGUCAUAAGACGAGGCUUGGGGCUUAGUAACAUUGGUGUCCAUGGAAACAUCAGGCUGAUGUGCGGUUCUGUGCCCAGGCCAGGGUGUCAGAACUCGUGAUGGUGACAGAAGAGAAACUGCAAACAGGACUCCAUGGCCCACCCCAGGCCACCAGGGCACCAAGCAGGAGCAGCUGGGCUUUGGUCUCCAACAAGGAGAGGAGAUUUACAGAUAAAAUAGUUUCAUGGGAAGAAGUGACUUCCCCUCCAGCCGAAAGAAAAGAUCCGCUAUGGAGAUGGCAUGUGGCCUCAGGGGCAGAGUCAUGCUUCCCAUUCCUGGGCUCAUUGAAACCCAGCUCAUGCCCAGAGACGACCACUGAGCCCAGUGACUGAGCAGUACAUUCUUCAUUGUCACCUAGGAGGAGGAGGCAGCCCUCCUGGGGUGGAGAGGCCUUGGCAUCUGGUGUGGCCCCAGCACUGGGCAUAGAGACAUCCUGGUACUUGGAAAUGUCAUUUGUGGUCUUGGGAAUGUCAUUUCCAAGUUGGGUCAUGAGCCAGGCUCCCCAAGGAGUAGAUACAACAGGCUGGAUCCUGGGAUUCAGGGAGCCAGCGCUGUUGGAAGUGCUCAGUUUGGUGCAGCCAAAAUAGCCAAGUAGCCUUUGCAUUGGGAUUGAAGUAUUUGCUCUGGUUCUGAGGCGAGAGCCCACCCUCCCCACUUAAUUUUUAUCUGAGGUGAAAUUCACAUAACAUAAAUUAACCAAUUUAGAGUGCACAGUUCUGCCUCACUUUGCCUCUUCACAAUAUUGUGCAACCACCAACUCUAUCUAGUUCCAAAACAUUUUCAUGCCCCAUAAGGAUGCCCUUAGCAGUUACAUCCCUUUCUCCCUCCCAGCUCUUGGCAACCACCAUCUGCUUUCUGUCUCUGUGCAUUCACCCAUUCUGGACACAUCCUAUUAGUGGAAUCAAACCCUCCGUGACAUUUUGUGUCUGUUUCUUUCACCCAGCCUCAUGUUUUCAUGGCUUGUUCAUGGUGCAGCAUGUGCCGGAACUUCAUUUUCUGUGUUAGAUGAGAAUUAAAUACGAAUAUAGAAGCUGGGAAAUCGGAAAAUCUGAAAGGUUACACCCAGAAGUCAUAGACCACACCUCAGUAACACAGUGGCUCAAAUCCUACUUCUAACAGAAAAACACACCCUCUGCCCAUCUACACAGCCAGGGCACCUGUGAACCAGGGACCAGAACACAGAAGUAGCUCACCCACUGGGGCUACCCUGGGAACUGCAAGGCCUCCUUUUUCCAGGAAACUGGUUUCUAUCCUGUCAAUCUUCAAAUGCACCUUCCUCGGUAAAAAAAAAAUCACAAGGUUUUAAAUUUAAAAAAAAA